UACCUACGGGGCGCAGCAGUAGGGAAUCUUCCACAAUGGGCGAAAGCCUGAUGGAGCAACGCCGCGUGAGUGAAGAAGUAUUUCGGUAUGUAAAGCUCUAUCAGCAGGGAAGAAGAUGACGGUACCUGACCAAGAAGCCCCGGCUAACUACGUGCCAGCAGCCGCGGUAAUACGUAGGGGGCAAGCGUUAUCCGGAUUUACUGGGUGUAAAGGGAGCGCAGACGGCAGUGCAAGUCUGGAGUGAAAGCCCGGGGCCCAACCCCGGAACUGCUCUGGAAACUGUGCGGCUAGAGUACUGGAGGGGG
rnacentral:rRNA from 1 species